rnacentral:rRNA from 1 species
AUACGUAGGGUGCGAGCGUUGUCCGGAAUUACUGGGCGUAAAGAGCUCGUAGGUGGUUUGUCGCGUCGUCUGUGAAAUUCCGGGGCUUAACUCCGGGCGUGCAGGCGAUACGGGCAUAACUUGAGUACUGUAGGGGAGACUGGAAUUCCUGGUGUAGCGGUGAAAUGCGCAGAUAUCAGGAGGAACACCGGUGGCGAAGGCGGGUCUUUGGGCAGUAACGGACGCUGAGGAUCGAAAGCAUGGGUAGCGAACAGGAUUAGAUACCCUGGUAGUCCAUGCCGUAAACGGUGGGCGCUAGGUGUAGGGGUCUUCCACGACUUCUGUGCCGUAGCUAACGCAUUAAGCGCCCCGCCUGGGGAGUACGGCCGCAAGGCUAAAACUCAAAUGAAUUGACGGGU